GACAUCCAACCCUCGUCGACGCCUAUAAGGCCUUCCCCGCGCCCUGCACGAACCCUAGAUGCUCUCCCCCUCUUCCUCUCGCGCCGCUUCUCCCUCACAACACAAACCCCGAGCGAAGCCGUCGCCGUGCCGUCGUGGUCUCCGUGGCCAUGGUCAUCCCCGAGCUACGACAAGAUGCCUAGAGGCACUGCCGUACUCUUCUCCGUCGACUUCAACCAUCGGAGCAAGCUGGGAGGGCCUCGCGCGUCACCAUCGAGCUCAUCUCCGCCUCUGCAUCUCGACGCUCGCCGUCUUCGAUUCGGCCUCGCCGGAGCCUCCCCAAGCCCGCUUUGCUCAUCUACAGGCUCAACAUGCUGGAGUCCAGGAGCCAGACGCCACUGUCGACGACGACUCCUACUACACCUGAGGUGCCUACUACUACGUGCAGCCCGCUGAUGACGACCAGGAGUAGUUUAGGAGGAUCCCAGGCAGGAGGCCUGCGCCUCUUUCGAUCUGUACCCCAGUUUGUGCUAGCCUUCUUAAGACAAACUUGUUUAACUUAUGUCUGUACUCAGAUAUUGUUACUUCCGCUGACUCGUCUAUGAUCGAGCACUUGUAUUCGAGC